AGAGUUUGAUCCUGGCUCAGAAUCAACGCUGGCGGCGUGCCUCAGACAUGCAAGUCGAACGAUUAAACUUCUCUUCGGAGAAGAUAUAAAGUGGCGCACGGGUGAGUAACACGUAAGUAAUCUACCUUUGGAUGGGGAAUAACAGUCGGAAACGACUGCUAAUACCGCAUAAUGCAGCGGCAUCAUAAGAUGACAGUUGUUAAAGUAUUUAUACGUCUGGAGAGGAGCUUGCGGCAGAUUAGCUAGUUGGUAAGGUAACGGCUUACCAAGGCGACGAUCUGUAUCCGACCUGAGAGGGAGGUCGGACACACUGACACUGAAUAACGGGUCAGACUCCUACGGGAGGCAGCAGUCGGGAAUUUUGGGCAAUGGGCGAAAGCCUGACCCAGCAACGCCGCGUGAAGGAUGAAGUCUUUCGGGAUGUAAACUUCGUAAGAAUAGGAAGAAUAAAUGACGGUACUAUUUGUAAGGUCCGGCUAACUACGUGCCAGCAGCCGCGGUAAUACGUAGGGACCAAGCGUUGUUCGGAUUUACUGGGCGUAAAGGGCGCGUAGGCGGCGUGACAAGUCACUUGUGAAAUCUCCGGGCUUAACUCGGAACGGUCAAGUGAUACUGUUGUGCUAGAGUGCAGAAGGGGCAAUCGGAAUUCUUGGUGUAGCGGUGAAAUGCGUAGAUAUCAAGAGGAACACCUGAGGUGAAGACGGGUUGCUGGGCUGACACUGACGCUGAGGCGCGAAAGCUAGGGUAGCAAACGGGAUUAGAUACCCCCGUAGUCC
rnacentral:rRNA from 1 species